rnacentral:lncRNA from 1 species
UUAUAGAAAACGGAUUCGAAAGGUCAAGAUAUUAAAAAUGAAGCUUAGUCGCAUUUUUAUAAUUUCUGGUUAGGAAAGCCCAUCAAGGCGGGGGUUCGUCAGGAAAAAUCAAUAACAACAGGAAUAUUAUUCACAUGUGACGUGUCUUUAUUCAAAUUCAUAACAUGGACUAAGAAAACUUGACAUCCGUAAUAAACGAAUGACUUCAUGGCUUGAUAUGAAAAUGUUUGACUACAAUGGUUUGAUUGCUUGAAUUCGAAUAACAGGUUGCUUAGGAAUAUGAAAACUAACAACCUUACGAAAGUAAUCAAUUUCGG